rnacentral:rRNA from 1 species
UGCAGUCGAGCGGAAACAAGCCGUAGCUUGCUGCCCGGUGACGAGCGGCGGACGGGUGAGUAAUGCAUGGGAAUCUGCCCGGUAGUGGGGGAUAACUCGGGGAAACCCGAGCUAAUACCGCAUACGUCCUACGGGAGAAAGCAGGGGAUCUUCGGACCUUGCGCUAUCGGAUGAGCUCAUGUCGGAUUAGCUUGUUGGUGAGGUAACGGCUCACCAAGGCCACGAUCCGUAGCUGGUCUGAGAGGAUGAUCAGCCACACCGGGACUGAGACACGGCCCGAACUCCUACGGGAGGCAGCAGUGGGGAAUAUUGGACAAUGGGGGAAACCCUGAUCCAGCCAUGCCGCGUGUGUGAAGAAGGCCCUCGGGUUGUAAAGCACUUUCAGUGGGGAAGAAGGCUUGGCGGUUAAUACCCGUCAUGAAGGACAUCACCCACAGAAGAAGCCCCGGCUAACUCCGUGCCAGCAGCCGCGGUAAUACGGAGGGGGCAAGCGUUAAUCGGAAUUACUGGGCGUAAAGGGCGCGUAGGCGGCUUGCCAAGCCGGAUGUGAAAGCCCCGGGCUCAACCCGGGAACGGCAUUCGGAACUGGCAGGCUAGAGUGCAGGAGAGGAAGGUAGAAUUCCCGGUGUAGCGGUGAAAUGCGUAGAGAUCGGGAGGAAUACCAGUGGCGAAGGCGGCCUUCUGGACUGACACUGACGCUGAGGCGCGAAAGCGUGGGUAGCAAACAGGAUUAGAUACCCUGGUAGUCCACGCCGUAAACGAUGUCGACUAGCCGUUGGACCCCUUGAGAGCUUUGUGGCGCAGUUAACGCACUAAGUCGACCGCCUGGGGAGUACGGCCGCAAGGCUAAAACUCAAAUGAAUUGACGGGGGCCCGCACAAGCGGUGGAGCAUGUGGUUAAUUCGAUGCAACGCGAAGAAUCUUACC